AUGAGGUCCUAUUACCAUUUGGAAGUAGAAGACGUCAUUUCAGUCUCAUUUCAUAGGAAAAUACGUGUAUUUGGAACCAACAGGUUUAUUUUUGGAUGACAGAUACUACCUGACCUGGAGACACAAUGACCCUUAAACGGCUCUCCUUUCACUCAUAUACACCCUGGGGAUAUCAUCAUGGGAUUACAGCUAGGACAAGAUUGCUGAGUUACAACCUAAAAAUGAUCAGAAUCUGGAGUUUCCCCCCUGCUGGGGGUGAAGUCAGGACUCUUCAGUGGACAGCUCAGGAAUUCAGCGUGGAGGUCACAGAUCACUGCUUGAGGAAUGUACCAAGCUGAUCAAUUCUUUGCAUCCACCAGUUUCAAACAAUCUGCAUAUAUGAGUGGUUAGCCUAGCUCUGCACCUGCCACACUGAGGC